CAGUAGCCGCGGUAAUACGUAGGUGGCAAGCGUUGUCCGGAAUUAUUGGGCGUAAAGCGCGCGCAGGUGGUUUAAUAAGUCUGAUGUGAAAGCCCACGGCCCAACCGUGGAGGGUCAUUGGAAACUGUUAAACUUGAGUGCAGGAGAGAAAAGUGGAAUUCCUAGCGUAGCGGUGAAAUGCGUAGAGAUUAGGAGGAACACCAGUGGCGAAGGCGGCUUUUUGGCCUGUAACUGACACUGAGGCACGAAAGCGUGGGGAGCAAACAGGAUUAGAUACCCGGGUAGUCCCUGUCUCUUAUAC
rnacentral:rRNA from 1 species